AUGUAAUGUAAUGCCUACAACAUUAAGACAUCAUAUCCCAUUAGAACCCCAUAAUUAAAAGCGCUUGGGCUAGAGUAGUAUUGGGAUGGGUGACCUUCUGAGAAGUCCUAGUGUUUUACAUG
rnacentral:rRNA from 1 species